UCGGGAAUUUUGGGCAAUGGGCGAAAGCCUGACCCAGCAACGCCGCGUGAAGGAUGAAAUCCCUCGGGAUGUAAACUUCGCAAGAACGGGAAGAAUAAGUAAGAGUUAAUAUCUCUUACGAUGACGGUACUGUUUGUAAGCUCCGGCUAACUCCGUGCCAGCAGCCGCGGUAAUACGGGGGGGGCAAGCGUUGUUCGGAAUUACUGGGCGUAAAGGGCUCGUAGGCGGCCAACUAAGUCAAACGUGAAAUCCCUCGGCUUAACCGGGGAACUGCGCUUGAUACUGGAUGGCUUGGAUUUGGGAGAGGGAUGCGGAAUUCCAGGUGUAGCGGUGAAAUGCGUAGAUAUCUGGAGGAACACCGGUGGCGAAGGCGGCAUCCUGGACCAAUACUGACGCUGAGGAGCGAAAGCUAGGGGAGCAAA
rnacentral:rRNA from 1 species